CCACACGACUCUCGGCAACGGAUAUCUCGGCUCUCGCAUCGAUGAAGAACGUAGCGAAAUGCGAUACYUGGUGUGAAUUGCAGAAUCCCGCGAACCAUCGAGUCUUUGAACGCAAGUUGCGCCCGAAGCCACCCGGCUGAGGGCACGCCUGCCUGGGCGUCACGC
rnacentral:rRNA from 9 species